GGGCUCUUGGCACAGGGGUAGCGCGCACGCUUCGCAUCAUUGCUCAAUCGUUGCUUGCGUGAGGUCGUGGGUUCAAUUCCCACAGUGUCCA